AGUUCUCAUCAUGUUACCCCAGAUCUUAGAAUUCUCCCCAGUUCUUGUCAUGUUACCCCAGAUCUUAGAACUCUCCCCAGUUCUUGUCAUGUUACCCCAGAUCGUAUUACUCUUCACUAGAGCUUACUAGGUGACCCCAGGGCGUUGCCAAUUAAACCAGCGCAUUUCAUGGUUGCAGGAACCCAGGCUUCCUGUCUUGGGCAAAAAGAUAUG